GUCCAGCUGAGCUCAUAAAGGUCUUUGGGGUGGGGCUAGGGGGUGGAGUUCUAAAGCCUGCACAAGCCAGGAAAGAGCCUCCUGGGUAAGGCAAGGCUCAUGAAAUUCUCUGAGUGGGUCAAAUGGGGACUGGAAAAAUUCCACCCACUAGCUCAGCUAAUGGGUAAAAAUGCUGGACAUUUAUCUGGAGCUGCAGGGGGUAAAGUGUCAUCCUUGGGAAAUUCAAAGCUGGCCUGUACCUGCUGAGAGCACCAGGGAUAUGGUCACAUUGCAAGCCUGUUGCCAGCACCCCAGGCAGAGUCAUCAACAAUUACUUUGGAGGAGGGCCACUUCCACCUUCCAGGGCAUAGGUGACCCCUGUGGAAAACAAGUACCCCUGGAACAUCCUAGAAGUGGAGGUUCUUGAGUGGCAGGCUUUCAGAUCAUCUGGUACUCCUUCCAGAGCUCCUGACCAGAGAUGGGGCAUUUGUGAACACAAGAUACAGCCAAGCAACCUGUCCCGCUGUUGUUAUUACAGUGAGUUAUAUUCUUGCCCACCUAGGCCACUGGAAUGAGAAUGCAGUAAAACAGCUUGCCUCAGAGUGGUCUUCCCUGGAACACACAGCUUCUGUUAAGCAUUCAUGAUUCUGACGGGCCAGUCAUCCCUUCAUUGACUUUGUCCAGCAGCUCCACCAUUACAGUCUCAUUUUAGAAAAUAAAGACACUUGGAAACAAAUUGAAAGGGCGUUUUCCUGCACCAACCCCAUUUGACUUGCCUCAGCAUGCUGAAUGGAGGGCUGCACUCCCCCCAUGACUGCCUGGACCCAUCACUCUAGGGUCCAUGUGGGUUGCAUGGCAGUCCUCCACUUUUUGGCCAUUGGAUCCUCAUUUUCUAUUAAUUCCUUAAGGGAUGGCCGCUCAUAGCUGGUUCUGGGUCAGUUUUGGAGAAUGCUUUUAAAUAUUUAAAAAUGUUGUCAUGACUGGAGAACUUGAGGUCUUUGUUGGCAUGGUUCUUGGAAG
rnacentral:lncRNA from 1 species